UGUUAUUUAAUGAUCGAAAUGCAAAGGCAUGGUAAAUGUUAUGUUAUAAAGUCUAUAUGAUUUCAUGAUGAUGAUAAUGUUAUUGCUUUCAUAUGUUGUUUUCAUGGAUCUCACCGAGGUAAGUGGACAGUAAAGGUUUUUAUGUUAAUAAACAAGUUUGUUAUAAAUUAUGCUCCAUUGGUCAUUUUUGUUUUCUACCCACCUUUACUUCCGUGGCGGUGAGAUAGUGUGAUGUCCUUACUGGGCUGGUGUAGCUCAUUCCUUGUUUAACCAUUUCAGAUCAGGAAGACAUUGUUCCCGAGCCCGUUCCGCAGGAAGACGGCGAAGGGGACGCCUAAAGACUUCAUAGUUAUAUUUAUAGUUCUUAUUUCGAGUAUCUCUCUUAGUUAGUUUGUUCCUUCAAGUUUUGAGUACGUUUUGGUUAUUGUGUAAGGGA
rnacentral:lncRNA from 1 species